rnacentral:rRNA from 1 species
UACGGAUGGUGCUAGCGUUGUUCGGAAUUACUGGGCGUAAAGGGCGCGUAGGCGGCUUAUCAAGUCAGGCGUGAAAUUCCCGGGCUCAACCUGGGGGCUGCGCUUGAUACUGAUUGGCUUGAAUGCGGGAGAGGAUAGUGGAAUUCCCAGUGUAGAGGUGAAAUUCGUAGAUAUUGGGAAGAACACCGGUGGCGAAGGCGGCUAUCUGGCCCGUAAUUGACGCUGAGGCGCGAAAGCGUGGGGAGCAAACAGG